rnacentral:rRNA from 1 species
ACUACGGGGUGCAGCAGUGGGGAAUAUUGCACAAUGGGCGCAAGCCUGAUGCAGCCAUGCCGCGUGUGUGAAGAAGGCCUUCGGGUUGUAAAGCACUUUCAGCGGGGAGGAAGGCGUUAAGGUUAAUAACCUUGUCGAUUGACGUUACCCGCAGAAGAAGCACCGGCUAACUCCGUGCCAGCAGCCGCGGUAAUACGGAGGGUGCAAGCGUUAAUCGGAAUUACUGGGCGUAAAGCGCACGCAGGCGGUCUGUCAAGUCGGAUGUGAAAUCCCCGGGCUCAACCUGGGAACUGCAUUCGAAACUGGCAGGCUAGAGUCUUGUAGAGGGGGGUAGAAUUCCAGGUGUAGCGGUGAAAUGCGUAGAGGUCUGGAGGAAUACCGGUGGCGAAGGCGGCCCCCUGGACAAAGACUGACGCUCAGGUGCGAAAGCGUGGGGAGCAAACAGGAUUAGAUACCCCGGUAGUC